rnacentral:sRNA from 1 species
AUAUCUAUAGAAUUUACUAAAUUUAGAUAGUUGUUUAAAAAAAAAUAUUAAUUACUAUUAAGAUAAUCACAGAAGAUAAGGAACAUUAUUAUAAUCGAGAACUAUAUAUAAACACGUGCUGAGCUCUAUUCUUCAAACUCCUCGAUCUUUCAUUUAUUUGACAACAAUUUUAGUUAUAUUCCUAAGGAAAAUCUUUAGUAUAAUGGAUCCAAACAUGAUGAUAGAAAAAAACUUAAUGUUAUAACCAUUGACCAAAGUAGAUGGAAUUGAUGAUUGUCAGAAUUAUAAAGAUACCUAGAUAUAACAUAAUGUUGGAUUUAUUUAACAUCUUUUUAUUUUAUUUUGAUAUAGAA